UGGGGAAUUUUGGACAAUGGGCGAAAGCCUGAUCCAGCAACGCCGCGUGUGUGAAGAAGGCCUUCGGGUUGUAAAGCACUUUUGUCCGGAAAGAAAUCCUUGGCUCUAAUACAGUCGGGGGAUGACGGUACCGGAAGAAUAAGCACCGGCUAACUACGUGCCAGCAGCCGCGGUAAUACGUAGGGUGCAAGCGUUAAUCGGAAUUACUGGGCGUAAAGCGUGCGCAGGCGGUUUGCUAAGACCGAUGUGAAAUCCCCGGGCUCAACCUGGGAACUGCAUUGGUGACUGGCAGGCUAGAGUAUGGCAGAGGGGGGUAGAAUUCCACGUGUAGCAGUGAAAUGCGUAGAGAUGUGGAGGAAUACCGAUGGCGAAGGCAGCCCCCUGGCAAGUACUGACGCUCAUGCACGAAAGCGUGGGGAGCAAACAGGAUUAGAUACCCUGGUAGUCCACGCCCUAAACGAUGUCAACUAGUUGUUGGGGAUUCAUUUCCUUAGUAACGUAGCUAACGCGUGAAGUUGACCGCCUGGGGAGUACGGUCGCAAGAUUAAAACUUAAAUGAAUUGAC
rnacentral:rRNA from 1 species